rnacentral:rRNA from 1 species
UACGUAGGGGGCGAGCGUUGUCCGGAAUUAUUGGGCGUAAAGAGCGUGUAGGCUGUUCGGUAAGUCUGCCGUGAAAACCUGAGGCUCAACCUCGGGCGUGCGGUGGAUACUGCCGGGCUAGAGGACGGUAGAGGCGAGUGGAAUUCCCGGUGUAGCGGUGAAAUGCGCAGAUAUCAGGAGGAACACCGGUGGCGAAGGCGGAUCUCUGGGCCUUACCUGACGCUGAGGCGCGAAAGCUAGGGGAGCGAACAGG